GAUGAACGCUGGCGGCGUGCCUAAUACAUGCAAGUCGAGCGAACGGACGAGAAGCUUGCUUCUCUGAUGUUAGCGGCGGACGGGUGAGUAACACGUGGAUAACCUACCUAUAAGACUGGGAUAACUUCGGGAAACCGGAGCUAAUACCGGAUAAUAUUUUGAACCGCAUGGUUCAAAAGUGAAAGACGGUCUUGCUGUCACUUAUAGAUGGAUCCGCGCUGCAUUAGCUAGUUGGUAAGGUAACGGCUUACCAAGGCAACGAUGCAUAGCCGACCUGAGAGGGUGAUCGGCCACACUGGAACUGAGACACGGUCCAGACUCCUACGGGCGGCAGCAGUAGGGAAUCUUCCGCAAAGGGCGAAAGCCUGACGGAGCAACGCCGCGUGAGUGAUGAAGGUCUUCGGAUCGUAAAACUCUGUUAUUAGGGAAGAACAUAUGUGUAAGUAACUGUGCACAUCUUGACGGUACCUAAUCAGAAAGCCACGGCUAACUACGUG
rnacentral:rRNA from 1 species